GAGUUUGAUCAUGGCUCAGAUUGAACGCUGGCGGCAUGCCUUACACAUGCAAGUCGAACGGCAGCACGGGAGCUUGCUCCUGGUGGCGAGUGGCGAACGGGUGAGUAAUGCAUCGGAACGUAUCCUGGAGUGGGGGAUAACGUAGCGAAAGUUACGCUAAUACCGCAUAUUCUGUGAGCAGGAAAGCGGGGGACCUUCGGGCCUCGCGCUCUUGGAGCGGCCGAUGUCGGAUUAGCUAGUUGGUGAGGUAAAGGACUCACCAAGGCGACGAUCCGUAGCAGGUUUGAGAGGAUGAUCUGCCACACUGGAACUGAGACACGGUCCAGACUCCUACGGGAGGCAGCAGUCGGGAAUUUUGGACAAUGGGGGCAACCCUGAUCCAGCCAUGCCGCGUGAGUGAAGAAGGCCU
rnacentral:rRNA from 1 species